rnacentral:rRNA from 1 species
CGGAGGGGGCAAGCGUUGUCCGGAAUUACUGGGCGUAAAGGGCGCGUAGGCGGCUUGGUACGGCGGUGGUGAAAUCUCCCGGCUCAACUGGGAGGGGUCCAUCGCAACGGCCCGGCUUGAGGAUGGUAGAGGUCAAUGGAAUUCCUGGUGUAGCGGUGAAAUGCGUAGAGAUCAGGAGGAACACCCGUGGCGAAGGCGGUUGACUGGGCCAUUUCUGACGCUGAGGCGCGAAAGCGCGGGGAGUGAACGGGAUUAGAUACCCCGGUAAUCCGCGCCGUAAACGAUGAAAACUAGGUGUCACUGGUAUCGACCCCGGUGGUGCCGCAGCUAACGCGAUAAGUUUUCCGCCUGGGGAGUACGGCCGCAAGGUUG